AGAGUUUGAUCCUGGCUCAGAACGAACGCUGGCGGCAGGCUUCAUACAUGCAAGUCGAGCGAUUAAAGCCCCUUCGGGGGUGUAUAGAGCGGCGAACGGGUGAGUAACAGGUGGAUAAUCUACCUUCCGGUGGGGGAUAACGGCUGGAAACGGCCGCUAAUACCGCAUGUGGUUGCGUCACCUUGGUGACGUUAAAGAAAGGGGCUUCACGGCCUCGCCGGGAGAUGAGUCCGCCCCCCAUUAGCUUGUUGGCGGGGUAAUGGCCCACCAAGGCAGUGAUGGGUAGCCGAGCUGAGAGGUUGAUCGGCCACACUGGGACUGAGAUACGGCCCAGACACCUACGGGUGGCAGCAGUAGGGAAUAUUGGACAAUGGGCGAAAGCCUGAUCCAGCCAUGCCGCGUGAGUGAUGAAGGCCUUCGGGUCGUAAAGCUCUUUUAUGAGGGAAGAACCAUUCGGGGAGGAAAUGCCCCGGGUCUGACGGUACCUCAGGAAUAAGGAGCGGCUAACUCCGUGCCAGCAGCCGCGGUAAUACGGAGGCUCCAAGCGUUGUUCGGAAUUACUGGGCGUAAAGGGAGCGCAGGCGGAUCGGUCAGUCUGAAGUGGAAUCCCGGGGCUUAACCUCGGACGUGCUUCGGAUACUGCCGGUCUUGAGUUCGUGAGAGGAAGGCGGAAUUCAGGGUUAGCGGUGAAAUGCUUAGAUAUCCUGAGGAACACCGGUGGCGAAAGCGGCCUUCUGGCGCGAAACUGACGCUGAGGCUCGAAAGCGUGGGGAGCGAACGGGAUUAGAUACCCCGGUAGUCCACGCCGUAAACGUUGUGCACUAGGUGUGGGAGGUAUCGACCCCUUCCGUGCCGUAGCUAACGCAUUAAGUGCACCGCCUGGGGAGUACGCACGCAAGUGUGAAACUCAAAGGAAUUGACGGGGGCCCGCACAAGCGGUGGAGCAUGUGGUUCAAUUCGAGGCAACGCGAAGAACCUUACCUGGGCUUGACAUCCCGCGCUACCCGUGGAAACACGGGGUUCUCUUCGGAGACGCGGUGACAGGUGUUGCAUGGCUGUCGUCAGCUCGUGUCGUGAGAUGUUGGGUUAAGUCCCGCAACGAGCGCAACCCCUGUCCUUAGUUACCAGCACGUUAUGGUGGUCACUCUAAGGAGACUGCCGGUGAUAAGCCGGAGGAAGGUGGGGAUGACGUCAAGUCAUCAUGGCCCUUACGCCCAGGGCUACACACGUGCUACAAUGGCCGGUACAGUGAGCCGCAAACCCGCGAGGGGGAGCCAAUCUCAAAAAGCCGGUCUCAGUUCGGAUUGGAGUCUGCAAUUCGACUCCAUGAAGUCGGAAUCGCUAGUAAUCGCGUAUCAGCUACGACGCGGUGAAUACGUUCCCGGGCCUUGUACACACCGCCCGUCACAUGACCCGAGCCGGGUGCACCCGAAGUCGCUGGUCCAACCUUUCGGGGAGGAAGGCGCCGAAGGUGUGUUUGGUAAGGGGGAUGAAGUCGAAACAAGGUA
rnacentral:rRNA from 1 species